AUUGAACGCUGGCGGCAUGCUUUACACAUGCAAGUCGAACGGUAACAGGGAGCUUGCUCCGCUGACGAGUGGCGAACGGGUGAGUAAUAUAUCGGAACGUACCCAAGAGUGGGGGAUAACGUAGCGAAAGUUACGCUAAUACCGCAUACGAUCUAUGGAUGAAAGCAGGGGACCUUCGGGCCUUGUGCUCCUGGAGCGGCCGAUAUCUGAUUAGCUAGUUGGUGAGGUAAAGGCUCACCAAGGCGACGAUCAGUAGCUGGUCUGAGAGGACGACCGGCCACACUGGAACUGAGACACGGUCCGGACUCCUGCGGGGGGCAGCAGUGGGGAAUGUUGGACAAUGGGCGCAAGCCUGUUCCAGCAAGGCCGCGUGAGUGAAGAAGGCCUUCGGGUUGUAAAGCUCUUUUGUCAGGGAAGAAACGGCUGUGGCUAAUAUCCACGGCUAAUGACGGUACCUGAAGAAUAAGCACCGGCUAACUACGUGCCAGCAGCCGCCGUAA
rnacentral:rRNA from 1 species